UGUAAAUCUGAUAUCGUCGCCAUAGCUUCAAUCGUCGACCAAACAAAUUCAAGCCUCGCCAUCGUGCGGGGUUUU
rfam:Salmonella enterica subsp. enterica serovar Typhimurium str. LT2, complete genome.